GGAAAAGUGGCUGAGUGGUUUAAAGCGAUUGUUUGCUAAANAAUUACAUCGCGUCUGAUGUCGUAGGUUCAAAUCCUAUCUUUUCUA
rnacentral:tRNA from 1 species